GGCGUAAGCGCGCGCAGGUGGUUUCUUAAGUCUGAUGUGAAAGCCCACGGCUCAACCGUGGAGGGUCAUUGGAAACUGGGAGACUUGAGUGCAGAAGAGGAAAGUGGAAUUCCAUGUGUAGCGGUGAAAUGCGUAGAGAUAUGGAGGAACACCAGUGGCGAAGGCGACUUUCUGGUCUGUAACUGACACUGAGGCGCGAAAGCGUGGGGAGCAAACAGGAUUAGAUACCCUGGUAGUCCACGCCGUAAACGAUGAGUGCUAAGUGUUAGAGGGUUUCCGCCCUUUAGUGCUGAAGUUAACGCAUUAAGCACUCCGCCUGGGGAGUACGGCCGCAAGGCUGAAACUCAAAGGAAUUGACGGGGGCCCGCACAAGCGGUGGAUCAUGUGGUU
rnacentral:rRNA from 1 species